UACGUAGGUGGCAAGCGUUGUCCGGAUUUACUGGGCGUAAAGGGAGCGUAGGCGGACUUUUAAGUGAGAUGUGAAAUACCCGGGCUCAACUUGGGUGCUGCAUUUCAAACUGGAAGUCUAGAGUGCAGGAGAGGAGAAUGGAAUUCCUAGUGUAGCGGUGAAAUGCGUAGAGAUUAGGAAGAACACCAGUGGCGAAGGCGAUUCUCUGGACUGUAACUGACGCUGAGGCUCGAAAGCGUGGGGAGCAAACAGGAUUAGAUACCCCCGUA
rnacentral:rRNA from 1 species